rnacentral:rRNA from 1 species
UACGGAGGGGGCUAGCGUUGUUCGGAAUUACUGGGCGUAAAGCGCACGCAGGCGGCUUUGUAAGUUAGAGGUGAAAGCCCAGGGCUUAACUCUGGAAUUGCCUUUAAGACUGCAUCGCUAGAAUCGUGGAGAGGUGAGUGGAAUUCCGAGUGUAGAGGUGAAAUUCGUAGAUAUUCGGAAGAACACCAGUGGCGAAGGCGACUCACUGGACACGUAUUGACGCUGAGGUGCGAAAGCGUGGGGAGCAAACAGG